GGUUUUGGCUCAGUGGUAGAGCACUUGCCUAGCAUGUGUGAAGCACUGGGUUCCAUUCUCAGCACCA
rnacentral:tRNA from 1 species